rnacentral:tRNA from 1 species
GGAGAUAACUCAGUGGUAGAGUGCCUGCCUUGUAUGCAUGGGGCUCUGGGUUCGAGUCUCCAGUACAUUA